GGGCUGGAAGAGACUCGCACUGCACUGGAUCCUUCCUGGGCGCGUCUGAGAGUGUCUGCCAGGACAUGGACA